CCACGCCUCAGAGGCUUCUUCUCUAUCAUCAUUUACUACCCAUUCAUUGGAAAUGGUUUCUUGUUGACGUCCAUCUAUGGUAUCUCGAAUAUCAUCUCCCCACUCAUUAGAUCCAAAACCAUCUGCAAACAAGCCUUCAGCCUCACUUACCAAAACAUGACUCUGCCACUGCUCUACUAGUGCAGCAGAUUCAUGCUGAUUUACAUCUUCAACUGAAUUGCCUUCCAAAUCAUCCACAUGAUUGGAUAAGAUGGGAGCAGAACUUUCAUUUCCAUUUGGCUCUACUUGUUGAGAAAAUACUUCGCUGGUUGAUGACAGAGGAAUAGGCUCUUCAGAUACAUUUUCAUUGAUACGUUCUCUCCGGUUCCCAUUCGCCUCUUCUCUAGUACCAUGUCUACUUUCAACAAACUCAACACUCAUGGAUUGUUGCCCGUCUCUUAUCUCGUUCUCCGAGACUUGUCCCGACUCUGCUUCUGAAGCAGAAGUAGGCUCCUGAGAACUUCUAUCUUCAAAAAUGUUACUUCCUAUGUCAGUUCUACCAUCUGAUAACCUGUGGUUGUCACUUUCCUCAAUAUUUGACUCAGUUUGUUCAUGAAAUUCAUCGACGACCUGCCGUGAAUUAUUUGCUUGGGUUUGUUCACUUCCUUUACCAUUAAUGUCAGUGUUAGAUGAAAUAUCACGCAUGCUGCUGCUUACUCGACCACAAAUAGAAUGGUCCAAUCUGGAGAAAAACCCUUCCCUCAAAUCGGAUACUGUAUGUCUUUGCCUCAGUAAGCCCAAUUCACUUGCAGCUGUGGAUGUUGGUCUCUCGUCUUCAAUUAUUCUGUCAUUUCGCAAGAACCUACCUCUAAGUAAUGCCUGAAUUCGGUUGCGAUGAGCAAAUUGUGAUACAGCCCGAUACUCCAACAGAACUUGAAGCUCACUUUGCCUCUCUCUCUCAGCCCUUUUAAGCAUAUCAAGCAAAGCCUGCCUGCCACAUAAUCGAUGAAUGCCUCUCCGUGUAUGCUCAGUUUGUCCUAUAUCGUGGUUAACAACUGAUCCAUCAAGAAUUUGUUCUAUUUGACCCACAAGUUCAGCACCGUGCUCUUCUCUAUGGUCAACACAAGUACCUCUCCGUCGACUGUUCAUUUGUACCCGCUCCCUUAUAAUUCUUACCCUCUCCUGUUCAGUUUCACCGAGCCAUUCUGAUCUAGAACUAUUGCCCCUCCGGGAAAUAUUAGAUGUGCGUUCCCUUGCAGCACAGUUCAUCCAUUCCUGGAAAAUCUGCCUUACCCUUUCCCUUUCAAUCUCACCCAGGUCAGAAGAAUCUUCUUGUUCAUUCUCUGAUUCAAUUAGACCUGGAGACCAUUGUCCAUAGUCAUUCUCACUCACACUCACAUUCUCUGAGGUGCCACUAUGCUCACUACCAUGGCUGUCAGACAUAUCCGUCCUUGAGAGGUCAGAACUCAAUCCAUCACUUCUAUUGUGAAGUACUCUCCCACCAAUCCUCUCUCGGGCAUGACUUACCACAUGCUCAUCCUCAAGCUCACGCCACAUUUGUAGGAUUGAUGAUGCCUGGUUGCUAGCUCUGCCAUCAUCAUCCCUUAUUGUCACAGCUUCUGAUUGUGGUUCUCUAAGGAAUGAAGAAUCAAGUACGGAAACAUUGUGCAGGCCAGCAAUAGCCAUUAGUCCAAAUUCCAAACAAACAAUCAAAAUCUAUCAACCAUCUGCCUCAAAUGGAUGAAAAAGCGUAUUUAUUUACAAUAAAUACAUGCAGGCAAUUGUUUACAAAUUAGAUGACUUCAUUAAUUAGUUUAUAUCAUGAGAUCAUAAACCAUCCAAAUCAUGAUUCAUGAUCACCAUCAUUAUUAAUCUUCAAUGUGAAGCUGAACAAAGGCAAUGGAAUGCAAACAUCGAAGGGAAUCUGCAUUAAAUUUCCCAUCCCUCACAAGAAAACCUCCUCAAAGAAGUGGCGUCCUCCAGUGAAGCUCUGCUCUUGAUGAUUUCAAAGUAAAGAAAACGAAACCGUAGCAAAGAAGAAAGAAGGAAAUAUAGAGAUGUGAAGAAAGAGAUAAAUGCAAGAGAAAGAGAGAAUCAGAGUAGGUUUUUUUUUUUUUUUUGAGGGAUAGAGGGGAAGAGAUUUUAUUUUAGAGCAAUAAAGGAGAAGGUAGACACGUCACCGUUUCGCA
rnacentral:misc_RNA from 1 species